rnacentral:misc_RNA from 1 species
UUACCGUAGGUGAACCUGCGGUAGGAUCAUUACUGAGUUAGGGUCUUCACGGCCCGACCUCCAACCCUUGUGUUAACUAAACCACGUUGCUUCGGCGGGCCCGUUCCCUCGGGGACCGCCGGGGGGUCUUACAGACUUCCUGGCCCGUUGCCCGCCGGUGGCCAACAACCAAAAACUCUUCAAAAACAUUGCCUGAAAACACACCUUUUGAUUUAAUCAAAAAUUAAAACUUUCAGCAACGGAUCUCUUGGUUCCAGCAUCGAUGAAGAACGCAGC